UGUUGGGCUGACUUUUUUCUUCAGAAAUCAUGUAUUAGUGGUUGUUGAGUUGUUUUUGGUUUAUUGUUAUUUUUGUUGAGGUGUUUUGUACCAUAGUUAUUGUUGUGUUGGUGUUUUGUACCUUUGGUGUUGUGGUGUUUUGUACCCUUGGUGUUGUUAUAGUGGUGUUUUGUACCUUUGGUGUUGUGAGGUCUUUUGUACCUUUGCUAUUGAAGUUGAGGUGUUUUGCACCAUAAGAGGUGUUGAUAUGGUGUUUGUUCCAUUGGUCUUGUUAGUGAUGUGUUUUGUACCAUUGCUGUUGUUGUUGUUGAGGUGUUUUGUAUCAUUGGUAGUGGCAUUAGUGUUGUUGCUGUGUUGUUUUGAACCUAUGGCUUUGGCGUUUUUGUUGUGAAUUUUGUACCAUUGUUGUUGUUGAGAUCUUGUGUACCAUUGGUGUUAUUUUUUAGUACUAUUGGUAUUGUAGUUUUUCUUUCAUUGUUGUUGUUGUUGAGUUGCUUUGUACCACUGGUGUUGUUGGUGUGGUGUUUUGUACUAUUGGUGUUGUUGUUAAUGUCCUUAUCAAUUAGUGUUGUUGUUGGAAACUUGUUUUAUCAUUGAUGUUGUUGUUGUGGUGAUUCGAACCCUUGGUGGAUUUUUUAGGUUAUUUCUACCAUUGGUAUUGGUAUUGUUGCUGUGGUAUUUUGUACCAUUGAUGUUGUUUUUGAUGUGCUUGUUACUAUCGGUAUUGUUGUUUUUCUGUUUUGUAUCACUGAUGUUGUUGCUGGGGUCUUUUUGUACCAUCCUUGUUGUUGUGGUAGUUUGUACCACUGGUGUUAUUGUUGGUGUCUUUUAUCCCAUUGGUGUUGUUGUUAUGGUGUUUUGUACUAUUUCUGUUGUUGUUUAUGGUCUUUUGUACCAUAAUUGUGUUCAAUUGGUGUAUUUUUCUGUGUUUUGUACCCUUGGUGUUGUUGUUGAGGUGUUUUGUACCAUUGCUGUUGUUGCUGCAGUCCUUUGGUGUUAUUGCUGAUGUGUUAUUGUGUGUUUUGUACCAUUGGUGUUGUUGUUGAGGUGUUUUGUACCAUUGAUGUUGUUUUUGAUGAGCUUUUUACCAUUGUACUGUUGUUAUGGUGCUUUGUACAAUUGGUGUUUUUAUUUGUGACAUGAGUGGUGCUACUAUGGUGUUUUGUACCAUUCGUGUUGUUGCUGAGGUGCUUUGUACCAUGAGUGGUGUUGCUGUGUUGUUUUGUACCUUUGGUGUUGUUGAUGUGCUGUUUACCUUUGGUAUUGUUGUUGUGGUGUUUUGUACCAUUGGUAUUGUUGUUGAGGUGUUUUGUACAAUGAGUGGUGCUGCUGUGGUUUUUUGUGC
rnacentral:lncRNA from 1 species